UCCUUGUAUUGCAAGAUAAGUCACUAGACAUUGUUUGUCAUUUGGAUGCUAAAAACACCUUUUUUCUUGGAGGUUUUUUUUUUAGCAUAGAGGAAAGAUUGUUUAUGUUGUUGAAUUUAGUAUUCUGGUGUUCUGCACUUGCUGGGAUUCUGUUCUUGGUUGGAUCGCUGCUAUUAAGUACAAAUUUGCUAGACUCAACAGUCAACACUACUUGGCACUGAUUUAUCUCAUCUAUUAUCAUUUUCUUUUAAAUUUGCACAGGAGAUUCUUGAUCAACUUGUGGAGAUUGAUUUGGCUGUGGGUUUUAGAUGCACUGAUGAUUACUUGGUGAAACAACAACAAGCAGGUGCCUGGAAACAGAAGCUCCAAGCUUAUGCUGAACAGGCCACUAGAAGAUUGUUACCAGAAACGGAAAAGGCUUCUUGACUUUCAAGUAGGCAGUGCACCUGCAGAGAAUUGGCAAGGGCUGUUAGCUGCACUACAUCUACAACACACAAAUACUGUAUAUUCUUCAAAGAAACUGGCUGUAAGAUCUAGCUUGCUCUAAAACUCUUAUCACCCAUUAUUAGUUUAGGUAUCGACUUUACUGUAAACACAAGUGCUGUGAAUAGCGUAACUAGGAGGAUUUUCCGUAGCGAAUGAUAUGGGAAGUGCAAGUUUGCACGUACUCUUUUGCUUUCUAAUUGAGCGUACUGAAGCAGUGUGAUGAUUCAAAUCUGUAAAUAUGUAGUCUUUCACUGUUUAAUAUGAGAAGAUCAAUAUUCUUGUGGAAUCACGGAUAUGUGCAGUACAUUACUGGUUUGGUUUUCAACUUUCCAUGGAGCUCUAAACUCCAGAGUGUAUGACAGAAAAGGCCUUUCCCGCCUCGACAAUAGAAUGAAACCCCUGGGGAAAUUUGUCCACGUUAAACUCACCAUCGGUAAAUUUAGCAGGGUCAAAACUCAAUUGCUGUAAAGCCAUUAUAUUAAAUUGUAAGCAUCAUGGGAUUGCCUUGCCUGUUAUAAUAACCUGUUAGAUCUCUA